AGCAGUGUGGUGUAGUGGUAGGAUGUGGGGCUAGUAACCGAGAGGUUUCUGGUUCGAUUCCCCACUUGGGCAUUGCUG